GAUAACAAGCUGAUGACUCCCAAGAGCUCUUAUCGACGGAGUCAUUUGGCACCUCGAUGUCGACUCAUCACAUCCUGGGGUUGAAGAAGGUCCCAAGGGUUCGGUUGUUCGUCGAUGAAAGUGGUACGUGAGUUGGGUCUUCCUUAACCGAUUAG
rnacentral:ncRNA from 1 species